UAAUGGUACUUAGGAACUACGCCUUAGAAAAGUCGUAUGCAAGGCAAGGAUGCCGAAGCAAGUCCUCAAGGUCAAGGAUGACCAUUUGAGGGCGUUAGACUUUUCUUUGGCGUAGUUUCUUAGUACCAUCA
rfam:Clostridia bacterium BRH_c25 BRHa_1004289, whole genome shotgun sequence.